CUACCCACCUACGAAUUGAUUUUUAAAAAGAUCUUGGAGUGCGCAGAGAUGGACAGAUUGCCUUUGUCUUUGAAGGAGAAGGAAGAUACAAACUUUUAUCAAACUUGGCAUAUAUUUUAUCAUUGGUUAGAGAAACGGGACUAUGCGUAGAAUUGAAUAUAGUUCUUAAAUGUGAAAAAAAGAGCAUGAUGUCGACCCAGUAUAUCCAACGUCCUGAAUAAUUGUUGUUUUUAGUUUUGGAUUU